UUUUACCCACAUGUUUUUUCUCACAUGACUACGUUUCCCAGAAUCCUGGAUCAAUACACCACGGGUAGCAGCCGUGGACACCAAGGCCAAAGCGCAGCAUGGGCUUGCAAUCCGGUCGACUCCAACAACACUCAACCAGCCAAUCAGAGCUCAGUUAUGACUGGACGUGUAUCUGAGCUGGAAUGACCCCUGCCCACUGGCACUGUUCCCACAGUACUGUGGCCAUCUUAAGCACAAUAUAAAAGUCAACAACAGCACGGUUGGGUGGUUCCUCGAACAUGUUCAUGUUUUGGUGUUCUGUCAACACAUGCCCAUUUUGGCGUUUCCGUCCAGUGAAAAGCACGCUGCAGGAAUGUGAAACACAAGGGCCCGGGCGUUGACGGGCCGCGGAUCUCCAUGUAACAACAGGUCCUUCUGGGCCUGUGUCCACACAACGGUACAG